UACGUAGGGAGCAAGCGUUGUCCGGAAUCAUUGGGCGUAAAGCGCGCGUAGGUGGUCCCGUAAGUCCGCUGUGAAAGUCAAAGGCUCAACCUUUGAAAGCCGGUGGAUACUGUGGGACUAGAGUACGGAAGAGGCGAGUGGAAUUCUUGGUGUAGCGGUGAAAUGCGUAGAUAUCAGGAGGAACACCUGUGGUGUAGACGGCUUACUGGACCAUGACUGACGCUGAGGCACUAAAGCGUGGGGAGCAAACAGG
rnacentral:rRNA from 1 species